AACGAACGCUGGCGGCAGGCUUAACACAUGCAAGUCGAGCGCCCCGCAAGGGGAGCGGCAGACGGGUGAGUAACGCGUGGGAACAUACCCUUUUCUACGGAAUAACGCAGGGAAACUUGUGCUAAUACCGUAUGAGCCCUACGGGGGAAAGAUUUAUCGGGAAAGGAUUGGCCCGCGUUGGAUUAGCUAGUUGGUGGGGUAAAGGCCUACCAAGGCGACGAUCCAUAGCUGGUCUGAGAGGAUGAUCAGCCACAUUGGGACUGAGACACGGCCCAAACUCCUACGGGAGGCAGCAGUGGGGAAUAUUGGACAAUGGGCGCAAGCCUGAUCCAGCCAUGCCGCGUGAGUGAUGAAGGUCUUAGGAUUGUAAAGCUCUUUCACCGGAGAAGAUAAUGACGGUAUCCGGAGAAGAAGCCCCGGCUAACUUCGUGCCAGCCGCCGCCGUAACAC
rnacentral:rRNA from 1 species